rnacentral:rRNA from 1 species
GUCCACACUGUAAACGAUGAUUACUCGAUGUUGGCGAUACACAGCCAGCGUCUUAGCGAAGCGAUAAGUAAUCCACCUGGGAGUACGCCCGCAAGGGUGAACUCAAGGAUUGACGGGUCCGCACAAGCGGUGGAGCAUGUGGUUUAAUUCGAUGAUACGCGAGGAACCUUACCUGGGCUAGAAUGCCCUUGACAGAUCCAGAGAUGGAUUCUUCCGCAAGGACAAGGAGCAAGGUGCUGCAUGGCUGUCGU